rnacentral:rRNA from 1 species
ACGGGUGAGUAAUGCAUGGGAAUCUGCCCGAUAGUGGGGGCACAACCUGGGGAAACUCAGGCUAAUACCGCAUACGUCCUACGGGAGAAAGCAGGGGAUCUUCGGACCUUGCGCUAUCGGAUGAGCCCAUGUCGGAUUAGCUUGUUGGUGAGGUAAUGGCUCACCAAGGCGACGAUCCGUAGCUGGUCUGAGAGGAUGAUCAGCCACACUGGGACUGAGACACGGCCCAGACUCCUACGGGAGGCAGCAGUGGGGAAUAUUGGACAAUGGGCGAAAGCCUGAUCCAGCCAUGCCGCGUGUGUGAAGAAGGCCUUCGGGUUGUAAAGCACUUUCAGCGAGGAAGAACGCCUUGGGACUAAUACUCCCGAGGAAAGACAUCACUCGCAGAAGAAGCA